GGGAAAGUCUCCAUCUGUCAUUUUUCCUCACUGCGAUGACAACUGAGAUAUAAACCAGGAUGAGACAAUGCCCUCACUAUGCAGCAGAGGUUGGAAGGGGGAGAAUAUUCCAGGCAGAGAGGGGCCCCUAUGUUCAAGAGUCACGUAGACUGUGUUUCUCUGUGUAGCCCCGGCUGUCCUGGAACACCACUCUGUAGACCAGGCUGGGAUUAAAGGCAUGUGCCACCACCACCUUCUGGGGCCUUUUCUGCUGUUCCGGGCCUCCCUCCGCCUCCACCUCAGGCAAGAGCAAUGAAAGAAUGGGAAAUCGAAAACGUGUCCCUGGCCUAGGAGGGAAUUUCUCUAUCUGGACUCUCCAGCCUUCUGCUUCUGGGGUCCUAAGAGGUUCCUGACAGGAAGCCCCAA
rnacentral:lncRNA from 1 species